CGCGGGGUGGAGCAGCUCGGUAGCUCGUCAGGCUCAUAACCUGGAGGUCGUAGGUUCAAAUCCUACCCCCGCAA
rnacentral:tRNA from 1 species